GCCAUCAUAGUAUAGUGGUCAGUACGAGUCGUUGUGGCCGACUAGACCCAGGUUCGAUUUCUGGUGAUGGCA
rnacentral:tRNA from 1 species